UGGGGAAUCUUGCGCAAUGGGCGAAAGCCUGACGCAGCAACGCCGCGUGUGUGAUGAAGGUCUUCGGAUCGUAAAGCACUGUCGGCAGGAACGAUGGUUUGCAUGGCUAAUAAACAUGCAGAUUGACGGUACCUGCAAAGGAAGCACCGGCUAACUCUGUGCCAGCAGCCGCGGUAAUACAGAGGGUGCAAGCGUUGUUCGGAAUCAUUGGGCGUAAAGCGCACGUAGGCGGCCGACCAAGUCAGGUGUGAAAGCCUGGGGCUCAACCCCAGAAGUGCACUUGAAACUGGUUGGCUUGAAUGUCGGAGAGGGUAGUGGAAUUCCGAGUGUAGAGGUGAAAUUCGUAGAUAUUCGGAGGAACACCAGUGGCGAAGGCGACUACCUGGACGAACAUUGACGCUGAGGUGCGAAAGCGUGGGGAGCAAACA
rnacentral:rRNA from 1 species